rnacentral:tRNA from 1 species
GCUCUCUUAGCUCAGUUGGUAGAGCAAAUGACUCUUAAUCAUUGGGCCCAGGGUUCGAGUCCCUGAGAGAGCA